rnacentral:rRNA from 1 species
CAUUUAAAGAGUGCGUAACAGCUCACUAGUCGAGCGAUCGUGCGUGGAUAAUAAUCGGGCAUUAAACAUAUUACCGAAGCUGUGGAUUUUAUAUUUAUAUAAUCUGGUAGGGGAGCAUUCUAUAGGCGUUGAAUGUGUGGCGUAAGCCAUGCUGGAGCGUAUAGAAAAGCAAAUGUAGGAAUAAGUAACGAUAAAGCAGGCGAGAAACCUGCUCACCGAUAGACUAAGGUUUCCUGAGCGAC